UACGGGAGGCAGCAGUGGGGAAUAUUGCACAAUGGGCGCAAGCUUGAUGCAGCCAUGCCGCGUGUAUGAAAAAGGCCUUCGGGUUGUAAAGUACUUUCAGUCGUGAGGAAGGUGUUAAGGUUAAUAACCUUAGCAAUUGACGUUAGCGACAGAAGAAGCACCGGCUAACUCCGUGCCAGCAGCCGCGGUAAUACGGAGGGUGCGAGCGUUAAUCGGAAUUACUGGGCGUAAAGGGCACGCAGGCGGUUAAUUAAGUUGGAUGUGAAAUCCCCGGGCUUAACCUGGGAAUGGCAUUCAAGACUGGUUAGCUAGAGUCUUGUAGAGGGGGUAGAAUUCCAUGUGUAGCGGUGAAAUGCGUAGAGAUGUGGAGGAAUACCGGUGGCGAAGGCGGCCCCUGGACAAAGACUGACGCUCAUGUGCGAAAGCGUGGGGAGCAAACAGGGAUUAGAUACC
rnacentral:rRNA from 1 species